AAAAUUUAACUUGCCUGUUGACCAUAUUUUUAGAUCCACUUAGCGAUUUAGUUAUUUCACACUGUUUUGAGUUGUGCACUUGUUCAUUUAAAUAUCAAAGAGGAGUUCCAGCGCAUAACAAACGUUACUUUGCAUCUGGAGUCAAAAUUCAUGUUAAAGCUUGACCAGUAUACGUUACACAAAAACUUCUCUAUCUUCAGUGCCAAGGCCGGAGCGUCAGGAAGAAGAAUGCAAGGCAUAAUGAGCUGUUUGGUCAAGGGAGCAGUCACCACUGAGCCUGGUGGAGUAUGUGGGGGGAACAUGGCCUGCUCGCAGAACACUUUGAUGAGGGUGAGGUCAAUAUUUCACAGCACAUCAUGAAGAUCUUCACAGUGAAGGAAGAGGGUGCAACAGAGGAUGAAGGUACCGUCUUUGAGGGUCAAGAGGUACUGGCUGGUCUUGGAAAUGUCCCACAGGCAUGUGCUGCACUUCUGGGGUUCAUAUAUGCCUUGAAUUUGCAGUACCCUAAACCACUGACAUACACAUUGGAAGUGUUUCAGAAGCUUUUUAUGGAACAGGAUGGACUGAAACUUUCUCCCAAGGUGCUGUCUCUUAAAACAACAGCUGUUAAUUAAGCCUUGCUAUCUCGAAUAGGCUUGAAGGAGAACGCUGGUGUAAAGUUGACUUGGUGUAAUAAAACAUGAUAAUUUUUUUUUUACUAAAACCUGCCAAUAAAUGCAAAAGUGGUUAAAAGUC